GCAAGAUGGUAGAUCGUAUAUAAAUCUUAGAUUAUGAAUGAAAUCCAUAUUUAAUCAGUGUAUGUUCUAAGAAUAACCAAUUAAGUAGUGACAGCCCAAAGAAGGGUCUUCAUAUUGAUAUAUUGGGGUAAUAAUGUUUAAUACACACUUCUAGAUGUAGAUCAAGUGGUGAUAGCAAGAAGUAUAAAACUUGUAAGAAUUAUUAGUAUCGGAAAUGUGGUGAGUCAAUAAUAAGGAAUACAGGGAAUAAAUAAACACGCAGGGUUAUUUACUAAAGUGAGAAUUGUGGGACAUUCAAAGACAAUUCAAGGUUGGGUUUCAAAUUUAAGGCCAAAGUGGGCAAACUGGAUAACUUCUACAAGUCAGUUAUGCUU